UUAAACUGAAAUGAGAGGCCUUGUGAAAGAGUGAACCCCAUCCCUGGGUGUUUAGUCAAUCCUGGAUGGCCCUAUGUGGAGGAUGCUGAAGAGAGCAUCCUUUGGGAGUUGGUCUAUAUUAACUAAUAGAAUCCUUUCCAGUUCCCAAGACUUUAUUCUAAAGAUUUCCAGAUGGAAAUGGUAAUCCUCCAUUUCUCCACCUCUGCAUUCACCAAACACCGACUACAUCUUUGAAGGAUUACUCUUGCAAAAUAACUUGGAAACUCCAGACUGUUUUGUUUAUUUGAAGAGCCCCUGACCAGGAACACUAGGGAUAAACUGAGACUACGUGGAGUUGAUGAAGCUCCCCACAGUAAGGUAGCACACUCAUUUCCAGAUGAAAUUGACCAAGCAGAUGGGCUCAAAAGGGUAAGAAACGCGGUUGGAAUGGGUUAAAUGCAUAGGAAGGCAUUCUUGUUUUCCACCCUCUCCCUUACUUCUGACCAGUAAGCUACGCUGGUUAAGUGGGUCACAGGAGAGGCUCCCAGGUGGCCCAGCCAAACUCAGGAGGUGACACUAGUGGCCCUCUGACCGGAGGGCAGCGUUUUCCAUUACAGAAGUGAAAUGAGGCUCUAAGACUGGAAAGGGGACAUUGGCAUUGGAAGGCGCCUGACUGUUACAACCUGGAGCAAAAACUCAAAGCUUUCGGUUUCCCUCCCGCCCUCCCCCCACCAUAUUUCUUUUAGAAAAGCAACAAAUUCUGGCUGAUUAUCACUUAUGCUCCACCCCAUUCUUCUAAGUCAGCUUUUGUGCAGGAAAAUAGAGACCUGCUUUCUUUGGCUUAUCAGCGUCCCAGGAAAGGGGAAAGGAGCGUCUGGCCUGCUAUCUGCAUCUUGCCUGGGGACAAUGAAACGCUGAAAGCAGGCUCCACGGGCAGGGGCUGCCACUUCAGACCCACAGAGUAUCUGCAAGGACCAGGGAAGGAGAGGAUGGAGGAGGGGCUCCGCUUAGCCUGCCGAAAACAUAAUAGCCCCUGGGGUGGGCUGCUGUGAACAGGAAGGGCGUGGGCAGGCUCUGAGCGCAGCUGCCGUUCUGCUCAUGCCGCCCAUUCCCACAGCCUUUGAUCAGCAGGCGAAUGGCAUUCUGUACCCUGAGAUAAAUGCCUGGUCAGAGGGUGUGGGUGGCUGUGGAGGGGGAUAAGGAUUAAAGACGAAGGUGUUUUAUAGACAGCCUGAAGGAUGUGUGUUUCAAAACUGGGAUCAGGGAGGUGCUAGGUACGAGGGAACAGAAAGGUUUCCCAUUGGUGCAUUCGUUCACUCAUUCAUUAACAUUUGUUUUGCACCCAGAAAGUUCAAGGUACCUGGCUCGACACUGUAGGGGACGCAAUGGUGAAUAAUACAAGCCAAUUCUAGUCGAAUACGGUGAAUCUCAAGUGUGGGGAGAUUAUUUGGGAUGUCAGAAAUUGCAGAGCGGAGUAGCAAGAGGUG
rnacentral:lncRNA from 1 species